CCCCACUGGCACAAAUAGAAAUUUGCGCUGCUGAACUGGAAAAGGAGGAGGAGGAGGGAAAGGGGCGACAGGGAAGGAAGGAGGCAAAUAACGGGAGAGCACUGUGUGAAAGGACAGCAGGUACUAAAGCCUCAAGAAAAAUUGCCUGGAAAAAAAAAAAAAAAAGAUGGUUCAUAUUUCCAAUGAUAACUUCCUUUUAAUUGCACAUUAAAGUCUUGGAUCUACUAUUUUCUUCUAUACACAUUCCAAUGCACCUGACAACUGAAGGAAGGACAGUACUGUCCAGCCAUUGUGUGGGCAAUGUUGUGAAAAAUACCACAAAAGAUUCUGCCAAGCCUCCCUCUCACACAGACCUCUGACACCUGCAUUAUUUGGAACGACUACUUUCUGUAUCAGUGAAUUCCCCCCAGGGACUGAAACAAGAUGAGCAACCAAGAACCUGGCUGCAGAGCAAUGCUGCGGAGAGGAUAGGGAUGCAAUGAUCCUUUCCUACUUAAGGAAGAUGCAGCAGCCCCAUGUUCUAAGGAAGACAAAGAUGGCUUCACACAUCUUCUAAAAAAGUGGACAUUAAGAAAAGUUUGUUAACUAUCCUGUCUACAGUAAUCUAAAAAUAAAAUCUAAAAGGACUGCA